rnacentral:rRNA from 1 species
GAUUAACGCUGGCGGUAUGUCUAAUACAUGCAAGUCGAGCGCUCACUUCGGUGAGAGCGGCGAACGGGUGAGUAAUACGUUGGAACCUGCCCUGAACUCAGGGAUAACUCCGAGAAAUCGGAGCUAAUACCGGAUAGUCCCGCAAGGGUAAAGUUUUUUCGGUUCAGGAGGGGCCUUCGUCCUAUCAGCUUGUUGGUGAGGUAAUGGCUUACCAAGGCUAUGACGGGUAACUGGUCUGAGAGGAUGAUCAGUCACAAUGGAACUGAGACACGGUCCAUACUCCUACGGGAGGCAGCAGUAAGGAAUCUUUCGCAAUGGGGGAAACCCUGACGAAGCAAUACCGCGUGGAUGAUGAAGGUCGAAAGAUUGUAAAGUCCUUUUCUGAGGGAAGAAUUCUGACGGUACCUCAGGAAUAAGCACCGGCUAACUCCG